rnacentral:lncRNA from 1 species
AGAUGUCACAUUCGUGGAGACAGAGGAGUCUUGGACCAUGUGCGCAACUGGAGCGUAGGAGUGUGCACUCGUCUUCUCGGAAAGGAAGGGCUGGAAAUAACCCUGACAGUGUUAGGCUUGGUGGCGAUCAGGGACAGAUGACUCUUACCGGUAGCCGUUUGCCCAAAUGCUUCUGCCCUUUGGAAGAGUCUUUGUGGCAGUGUGAGUUGUCUCCAGUAAGGGACCCUGGAGGGAGUGGCUCAUCCUAGCUAUAAAGAGUGUGUUAUUUUUAUCUUUUUUUUUUAAAGAAUCACUUUUUCUAAGUAUGUCGGAGUGAUUGAGCAGAGAGAAAAAUGAAUACCCUAAGCGAACUAGAAAUCUGGAAAGAACCGAAAUAGAGGCAGUGUCUCAUGACACUUUACUUGAGGACUCACCUGAUGAACUGCUGAUCAACUCUAUAGAUUCCUUCACCUAACCAGAACUGACUUCAUCAGAGAGUUAUGAUGGUUAACUCUAUCAGUCUUCUACCUGAAUGCCCCAAGAUAUUGAUGAAGUCAACAAAAACAUUGAGCCUCAGAACACAAGAAAUCUUGGACAAACUGGGAGACAGCUUGUCAGUAUCUAAGGUCUCUGUCUUGUCCUGGAGAUGUCCCCCAUCUCCUCAUCCCCAUCAGCUGAGGAUUUCCAUUUGUUUACAUGGCCCUCCAGGAUCUCUCCUGCACUUCCCCAGACUUGAUCCUGAAGCCUCCAUUUCCCUCCCUAUAGCUCAAGAAAUGAGAAUUGACAAGCAGGAUGUAGGACAAAAGUUUGUGGUAGGAGCUAUCCUACCUCGCACAUGACAACCUUCCUUCUGCAUCUUUAGAGAGAAAGUCAAAUUUCCCUUCCCUCCAUUCCUCCCAGUUCCUCUGCACACCCACCUCCCAUCUCUGGUAGACCCACAACUCCUCCAAACUUCAAAAAAGUGCUGACCUUCCAGGGACAUCAACCAAACAUGGCAUAACAGGGAAUGCAUCUGGAAAAGAGACUACCAGCAGAAGAGCAUAAAGGGGCGUGGAAGCCUAAACUGAACGAAGACCAAAGUGUGGACACUUUGCCCCUUCUUAGAAUUUGAAACAAUCACCCAUGGAAGGAGUUACAGAGACAAAGUUUGGAGCUGAGACAAAAGGAUGGACCAUCUAGAGACUGCCAUAUCCAGGGAUCCAUCCCAUAAUUAGCCUCCAAACGCUGACACCAUUGCAUACACUAGCAAGAUUUUGCUGAAAGGACCCAGAUGUAGCUCUCUCUUGUGAGAUUAUGCCGGGGCCUAGCAAAGACAGAAGUGGAUGCUAACAGUCAACUAUUGGAUGGAUCACAGGACCCCCAAGGGAGGAGCUAGAGAAAGUAUCCAAGGAGCUAAAGGGACCUGCAACCCUAUAGGCGGAACAACAUUAUGAACUAACCAGUACCCCGGAGCUCGUGUCUCCAGCUGCAUAUGUUUCAAAAGAUGGCCUAGUCGGCCAUCACUGGAAAGAGAGGCCCAUUGGACAGGCAAACUUUAUAUGCCCCAGUACAGGGGAACACCAGGGCCAAAAAAUGGGAAUGUGUGGGUAGGGGAGUGGGGGGUGGUGAGGGUGUGGGGGACUUUUGGGACAGCAUUGGAAAUGUAAUUGAGGAAAAUAUGUAAUAAAAAAAUAGAAAAAAAUAAAAAAUAAAAUUUGAAA